GUGAAGUUGUUUGGCAUCCAGGGUUCAAUUCUCCAGAAGCAGGAGAAUUCAACUUAUGUGUGCGUAAAGGAAACACAAUUAAAUUGAAAUGUUUUGCAAAGCUUGGCAUUACUAAAGUUCAGUUUAUGGAACAAAGGAUACCCUUCAGUCAUAGUCCAAUCGGUUUACCUACUUUUAAGACAGCCAUUCUUCGAAAUACAGGAUCCAAUCACGCGUACUUCCAAGUUCUUGAUACAAACCCACUGCCUGGAAUGAUGAUCACCCCUUCUGAAGGGGUGGUACCUGUGGGAGGCCAUGCUGAUCUCAAAAUUUGUUUCACUCCGACUGCAAAAAUGACUUUUGAUACAGGAGUAGAGGUAUUCAAAACCAGAAGAACUUUGUCUUUUGAGUGUUAUGUUUUGUGUUUAUGUGUGGACAGAUGUGUACAUUUGAGAAUCUUCUGGAU
rnacentral:lncRNA from 1 species